rnacentral:sRNA from 1 species
CAGCGGCGCAUGAUUAGCACCGCAGUCUGAAAGUUGGCUCGUCCCCCGCCGCUUCAGACUUCAGGACAAAGGCCUUAUCCCCCCUCUCCGGGCCUUUGUCCCCUGUUACGAAAAGUCGUCACGGCGCCGCCUCCAGCCGUGACGACUUUUU